GUCCACCAUCCGCCGUCCGCCGGGGAAUGUCCCUCCCCGGAGGGAGGCGCGCCCCCGCCCGCGCCCGGCCAAGUCAAUCCACAGCAACCCUGUGCUCACCUCUAUAAUUUGCUGUGUAAAGUACUUCAUUGUUACGCGCAGGUCUUUCCCACUAAACUUUGAAGAGUUAAACAGAAGAGGAAUAAUUUAAUAGCAAGCAUUUUGAGAUUUCAAAACAAUACUUGAGAUAUUCUAUUUUCAGACAUACAAAUCUGCAGUGCAAUCAGAUUCAAGGAUUUGGAUGACUAAAGUAGAUGAUCAGUCAUAAAGAGUAUGCGAGCCAGUGGAUUGACAUUCUUGGAUCCGGUCUAAACAUUCUGAUGAACAGUUCCGCAGCAGAUAUGUCAGCAUGACUUCUUUUUCAAUGAUUUUAUUUGGAUUGCCUUCCAGUCCAGUCCGUGACGGUCUUCCUGAAGUAUCCCUUGGUUCUGAGGAACCACAACACACGAGCCAGCAGCGUAAAGGAAACAAGAUUUAUUUUAAGACAUUACGCAGAACUCAACCGAAGAAAGAUUCCCAGGACUGUGUUAAGCAGAGCAAUUAUAAUAGUUUAGAGAGUAUGAGCAAGAAACAACCCACAUGUAAUAAAAUAUGAAGAAAAAGAGGACACCUGGAACAUGCCUGUGCUGGCUUUUCUGCAGCGAGAUGGAGACCGUUCGUCAGCCUCUGUGAGCCUGCAGCCUCCCCUCAGUGCCUGGCGUGGGCGGCUGUGCGGUCAGCGAGUGGGAUGCGAGCUUAUCCAUAAAGUAAGGACGUGAGCAUGAGAGGAAAAGGACAGAUCUCAAUGGAAGGACAACGGGGGAGAGAGAACUCCGGUCAACAAGCCUGGGAGGUGUGGAGUGAUGGAGACGGCAGCACAGUACCUCCCACCCCCACCCCGAUGUUUGCUCAGCCUCUUGAAGAUGAUUGCUUGUAUUUCUGCCUCAGAGCUUCCCAUGAACUUCCCUGAUAUGAAGUGAAAAGAAAAGACUGCGGGAGCUGAUCAGAGAGCGUAAUAAACACAGCGGGCGCCCGUGUUCCUGCCCCGGAGGCUCACGCCUGUGGAAUGUGUCAGAUUUGAAACUGGCACGUGGAGCCAGCGCCAGGCGUGCCCCCCCCCGCCCCCCCAGCACAGCAGAACAUCUGAUUAAACACAAGGGGAACUGUACUGCUUUCGUUCAGCCUGUUCUCUGCAGACACAAACCAUUCUCUGAUAUCAAAUGGAAACGAGCGGAAUUAGCAUGGGAAGGGCCAUUCUUGCUGUCUGAAACCACUGUGUCCUCUCCCUCUUAUUCUCCCAAAGGAAGAGAAUAAGGAUCAUCAAUGGUCAUGGUAGUUGCCAAAGGAACACCAAAAGCCAGCUUCACACUCAGGAGAGAAUGCUGCACCUCCUCUUCGUGGUUUUGGGGGCUCUACACAUUCAGAGAAACUUCUCUAGUAACAAACCAUAGAAAUGACCCCUGAAAGUAUAGGCUUUGGGGAUGACACUCUUAAUAAUAAGGCCCCAUGGAUUUCAUUCUCAGGGCAGUAGAGAGCUAGGAGGAAUUUAAACGUAGGAGAGGGGUGAGGUACUUUGGCCACUCUGGCUUCCCUUCCACUCCCCUGCAAGGUGUCCACUGCUCCCUGUCCCUGGCUAACCCCCACCAGAUUCUGAGCCCCUGUCCUCAGAUGCCUCGAUUUCUAAGGUAACUUGCAAUUAUACGAGAUAAACGUAUGUAAUGGAAGACUGUAAUGGUAGUCGAGGCCUUCAGACAAGGGCUGAUGAUCUGACUACAGAAUUGUAGGCAUUGGCCGGGGGCAGGAGAGAACUGAUGUAACAUUCUUUAAUCAUGGGCUGUUCUUCCAACUCUGAUCACAACACCUCACAAAGAAUCAAACUGGUCUCAAAGGAAUCCAAGCACACACCUGGUGCCCACUUUCCUGAGGGGGGACCCACAGCACCAUCCCCAGGUGGAGGGCAGGAUUUGAAUCCUAGAGUCUCAACAACAGCAGGGAUCCUGGAGUUCCCCUGAGCCAUGGCCUGCAUCACCCAGGCUCCUCCGAGGGCAGGCUCAAAGUGCUUCCUUUGUUAUUAUUAGAUUUGAAUAAUUGGCAUCUCUCCGUGUUUUCCACGCCUUGAUCACCUUCUCAGAGGAGCAGGUGAAUGGAGAAAGAGCCAGCAGGGUUCAGGUAACCCACAAAGUAGACACCUGGUUUUGGUGUCAUCAGAGGGGUCUGGAUUCCAUUGUCACAAGAAAUAAACCAAAACCUU